GCGACCAUACUGCCACGUCUGAACAAAAUGGGUUCUCGUCUGAAUACCGAAUUUAAACAGCUUCGGGCCCAAUUAGCACUUGUACGAUCGAGAAUACCGACUAUUGUGGUU
rnacentral:rRNA from 1 species